rnacentral:tRNA from 1 species
GCUAACCUAGCUUAACUAAAGCAUAACACUGAAAAUGUUAAGAUGGGCCUUAAAAAGCCCCGAAAGCA